ACGAAUUGAUUGUGAUGAAAUAGUAAUUUGUUAAGAGUUUUUUUUUUUACCGAGUGUUGCAAUGUUAGGCUGGCUAGUUUCAGUGCAUGCUAGCAGGGUGUCUCUAGCUUCCCACGUGUAAGCACUCGCUCGCUUUACUUUUCCUCAGGUCAGAUGUGCUCUGCGUGCAACAUAGAGAAGCCCAUCACCAUUCAUUCCAUUGUAUUCACUGCAUUUGUUUAAUCUAAUUUAGCUCAGUCUAUCUUUGGCUCUACCGAGGAGAGGUGUGCUCUGCGUGCAACAUCCAGGUUUGACGAGAAAAAAAAAAAAAAUCCGGAAACAUGAGGUUCCUGUAAAUUCUAGAUUAUUCCAGCAAGUUCCAGUACAUCCCAGAAAACCCAGACAGAGACUUACAGCUCAGGAUGGUUUCAACAAGCUCUAGUGUCCCUGUGUGGAUGGAGACUGACUACCCUGACGUGGUGAUAGGUGUCGGAGAAGUAACACUUGGGGAGAAAUUCAGGAACAAAAUGUCAGAUGGAAACAAAAAAAACGCUGAAAAAAACACACUUAUGAAAGUUGCAUGUGCUUUGCUAAACUCAGGUGGAGGAAUUAUAGUUGCAAAGAGUAAAAAUAAAGAUUACAAUUGUGCAACAGAAAGUACAGGUCAAGAUCUAGAACUAGGAUUUAGAGACCUUGUUAAGCCCUCCUCAAUACAGGACCACUUUUCUUUUUUGCAGCAGUG